UCCGGUUUGUCACCGGCAGUCUGGCGUGAGUCCCCAACUUAAUGCUGGCAACACGCCACGGGGGUUGCGCUCGUUGCGGGACUUAACCCAACACCUCACGGCACGAGCUGACGACAGCCAUGCACCACCUGUGCAGGCUCCGAAGAGCACCCGCUUUCACGGGUUUCACCCUGCAUGUCAAGCCCAGGUAAGGUUCUUCGCGUUGCAUCGAAUUAAGCCGCAUGCUCCGCCGCUUGUGCGGGCCCCCGUCAAUUCUUUUGAGUUUUAGCCUUGCGGCCGUACUCCCCAGGCGGAACACUUAUCGCGUUGGCUGCGGCACGGACGGAGUCGACACCGCCCACACCUAGCACCCAUCGUUUACGGCGUGGACUAC
rnacentral:misc_RNA from 1 species